rnacentral:rRNA from 1 species
AUAUUAAUAAGCGGAGGAAAAGAAACUAACAAGGAUUCCCUCAGUAACUGCGAGUGAAGUGGGAAAAGCUCAAGCUUAAAAUCAGGGGCAGUCUAUGUCUCCGAAUUGUAGUUUUGUGAAUGGCUCCAAGACGAGAUCCUUAAUAUAAGUCCUCUGGAACGAGGUGCCAAAGAAGGUGAUAGCCCUGUGCAUGAUUGAGGAGUUAAUUCUCGUCUAUAUGUUGCCAAUUCUUAGAGUCGGGUUGUUUGGGAGUACAGCCCAAAGUGGGAGGUAAAUUCCUUCUAAAGCUAAAUAAUGGCGAGAGACCGAUAGCGAACAAGUACCGUGAGGGAAAGAUGCAAAGAACUUUGAAAAGAGAGUUAAAAGUGCUUGAAAUUGUUAAAAGUGAAGCGAUUGAGCGCAGUACAUGCUUGCUAUCAACUCAUUCAUUGUUGUGGUGUUGGAAUGAUGUUAUCGAGUGUCCUAAGUGGCAUCGUUGCGUUGUUUCCUGGCAUCAUUUCAGUGGAGCAUUUUGGUGGUAAGUGAGUCAACAUCAGUGAAUUUGAGUGGGAGAAUGGGGUGGAGGAGGUGACAUGCGGUCAGUCUCGGCUGAUUUAGUGUGUGUUAAACUCUGCUCAGAUACCAUUUAUUUCA